rnacentral:rRNA from 1 species
UGAGGAAUAUUGGUCAAUGGACGCAAGUCUGAACCAGCCAAGUAGCGUGCAGGAUGACGGCCCUAUGGGUUGUAAACUGCUUUUAUGUGGGGAUAAAGUGCGUGACGUGUCAUGCAUUGCAGGUACCACAUGAAUAAGGACCGGCUAAUUCCGUGCCAGCAGCCGCGGUAAUACGGAAGGUCCGGGCGUUAUCCGGAUUUAUUGGGUUUAAAGGGAGCGUAGGCUGUCUAUUAAGCGUGUUGUGAAAUUUACCGGCUCAACCGGUGGCUUGCAGCGCGAACUGGUCGACUUGAGUAUGCAGGAAGUAGGCGGAAUUCAUGGUGUAGCGGUGAAAUGCUUAGAUAUCAUGAAGAACUCCGAUUGCGAAGGCAGCUUACGGGAGCGCAACUGACGCUGAAGCUCGAAGGUGCGGGUAUCGAACAGG